rnacentral:lncRNA from 1 species
ACCUACAAAUUCCCAAGGCCACGGCAAGUGGCAAGGUACUCAGUCAGCCCUCCUUUUUUCCACUUGUAGAUCACCUCCAAGGUUCAAUGGUGCUGAAACACAACAGGAAAAAUAAAUAUCCUUAUACGUGAUAGGAUCUAGUUCUUUCUUAACUAACCGAUGCUUUCUUUUUAUUUUAACCUGCCACAUGCGUUGAUAACUCAACAAUGACACAAUGGACAUUGUGAAUAGCCAGUAAAUAAACCCCCAACAAGGAUUUAUAAUGACUUACCUUACUAUCUAUGUGACAU